AUUUCUUCUCAGCCUUUUGGCUAAGAUCAAGUGCAGUAUCUGUUUUUAUCAGUUUAAAGACCGUGUGUGUGUGUGUUUGUGUGUGUGUGUGUGUGUGUGUGUGUGUGUUUAAGAUAGGGUCUCACUCUGUCACCCAGGCUGGAGUGCGGUAACAAAAUCUCAGCUCACUUCAGCCUUGACUUC